rnacentral:rRNA from 1 species
ACGUAGGGGGCGAGCGUUGUCCGGAUUUAUUGGGCGUAAAGAGCUCGUAGGCGGUUCGGUAAGUCGGAUGUGAAAUCUCCACGCUCAACGUGGUGGGGCCAUUCGAUACUGCCGUGACUCGAGUACGGUAGAGGAGUGUGGAAUUCCCGGUGUAGCGGUGAAAUGCGCAGAGAUCGGGAGGAACACCCGUAGCGAAGGCGGCACUCUGGGCCGAUACUGACGCUGAGGAGCGAAAGCCUGGGGAGCAAACAG